GACAAACAGGCCAAGUUAAGUCUAUUUGGUAUAAAAGGAAGUGAGAAUAUUUAGUAGCUAGAAAAUUAAUUUUUUAUGGGGAGGUGGAAUUCGUACAUAGUGAAUUUUUAUCAUUAGUUUCUUGUGUUUGAGGCUUCGAGAAUCAGGUGAGAGACCGGGAUUAGAUACCCCGUUAUUCUUUUUGUAAAUUUUGAUGCGAUGGAUUUACCUGAGUAUUACGGGUUGGGGGUGUGCCAACAGGCUUAAUUACAAGUGUGAGGUGCGUCUCCAGUUACUUAAAACUCAAAAAACUUGGCGGUGCUUUAAUUCCUUCCAGGGGAACCUGUCCUGUAAUUGAUGAUCCACGAUUAAUCUUACUUUUUUUAGCGGGCAAUUUUGUCUACAGCUUGUAUACCGUCGUCGUCAGAUUACCUUUGAGAGAUGAGAAGUUGUCGGUAAAAUCGUAGAGGUACAUUAACGUGAAGCUUUAAUGUCUUUUUAUUUUUGAUGUCAGAUCAAGGUGCAGCCCAUAAAAAAGUAGUGAUGGGUUACAGUAUAAAUUCUAUACUAUGGAUUUUGUUUUGUAAUAGGCAAUUGAAAGUGGACUUGGGAGUAAUAUGUUCUAAAUUAGAAAGUUUGUGUGAAUAUAAAGGUGCUAAGGCGCGU
rnacentral:rRNA from 1 species